rnacentral:rRNA from 1 species
GCCUACGGGUGGCAGCAGUGGGGAAUUUUACGCAAUGGGGGAAACCCUGACGUAGCGACACCGCGUGAGCGAAGAAGCCUUUUGGGGUGUAAAGCUCUGUCAGCUGGAACGAACACAAUGACGGUACCAGCAGAGGAAGCAUCGGCUAACUACGUGCCAGCAGCCGCGGUAAGACGUAGGAUGCAAGCGUUGUCCGGAUUCAUUGGGCGUAAAGAGUUCGUAGGUGGUCUGUUAAGUUUGGUGUUAAAGAGCGGGGCCCAACCCCGAUAGUGCACUGAAUACUGGCAGACUUGAGUGCGGUAGAGGUAAGUGGAAUUCCAAGUGUAGCGGUGAAAUGCAUAGAUAUUUGGAAGAACACCGGUGGCGUAAGCGACUUACUGGGCCGUAACUGACACUGAGGAACGAAAGCCGGGGUAGCGAAUGGGAUUAGAUACCCCAGUAGUC